UACGUAGGGUGCGAGCGUUAAUCGGAAUUACUGGGCGUAAAGCGUGCGCAGGCGGUUCGUUGUGUCGGUGGUGAAAGCCCCGGGCUUAACCUGGGAAUGGCCAUGGAAACUGGCGAACUGGAGUGUGGCAGAGGGGGGUGGAAUUCCGCGUGUAGCAGUGAAAUGCGUAGAGAUCAUGAGGAAGACCAGUGGCGAAGGCGGGUCUCUGGACAGUUCCUGACACUGAGACACGAAGGCCAGGGGAGCAAACGGG
rnacentral:rRNA from 1 species